rnacentral:misc_RNA from 1 species
GGAGAACUCUGAAACUUGUCGGUUAUUUGUGGAGAAGUCAGGCAUUGAAUCUCUGUUGAAACUACUCUUACGGCCGAGUGUUGCACAGUCAUCUGAAGGGAUGUCCAUCGCAUUACACAGCACCAUGGUCUUCAAGACUUUCACCCAACACCACUCUGCUGCACUGGCUCGUGCUUUCUGUUCCUUUCUCAAGGAUCAUUUGAAAAAAGCUCUGUCUGGAUUUGAUGUGGUUUCU